rnacentral:lncRNA from 10 species
UGAACCUUUGGGUAAGCUGUGAAAUGUUCUGGUAUGACAGCAAGAAUUCAAGGGGAAUAUUGAAAUUAUAAGCCAGUUUUUCAGAUAUUUUAUCUACACACCACUAUAGGCUUCCCUUGCUACGCUGAAACACCAGAAGGAGAUACUGGAGGGAAUCUGAACCCAAGGGUCUCAGAGCCGACCUGGAGAGGAGACUUCAUGUCAUUCCCAUCCUUGAGGCCUGCCACCAAUUGGAAGAUCUUCAGUUCCACCUCUUUCCUGGACAUCUGACUGUAUUGCCCAUCAUUGUCUAUGCUCUGCCCACCGAGAAGAUGCAUCUGGAUCCCUGGUGUCACUUAUUGCUGAACUGUUUGAAUACCAAGUUAUACCGACCUGAAUCUCCCAAGUACCAACAGCAGCCUGGCUCGAAGCCAGAAGGAAUGACUGGAUAUCCCAAGUACCUGAUGGCCACAUAAACAUUUGAAGUAUCAAGCAUUAGAAGAAAGGUCUGUUCCCCAUCCUGACUUUGAGCAUGCUUCAUGGAGAAACUGCCUCCCAUAGACUAUCUGGCUCGAGCUCCCCUGCCCUCCAGUGGAUUUGGCCAAUAGGAGGCAUCAGCAAGAGAU